rnacentral:misc_RNA from 1 species
GAUGAAGAACGUAGCGAAAUGCGAUAAGUAAUGUGAAUUGCAGAUUUCAGUGAAUCAUCGAAUCUUUGAACGCACCUUGCGCCUUGUGGUAUUCCACAAGGCAUGGCCGUUUGAGUAUCAUUAAAUCAUCAACUCUAAAACCUUUGUGGUUUUUUUAGAGCUUGGUCUUGAGGGUUUUGCAGGCUUUUUUUUUUUCGAGUCUGCUCCCUUUAAAUGCAUUAGCGAGACUUCCCUAUGCUGAACCGUCUCUUUGACGUGAUAAUUAUCUGCGUCGAAUUUUGGUUCUCGUUGGGCUUGCUUCUAAUCGUCUGUUAAAGACAAAACGGAUUUGGGUGCAUAUAUGCGCCUUUUUCCAAAACCUUUUUUGAUCUCAAAUCGGGUAGGACUACCAGCUGAACUUAAGCAUAUCAAUAAGCGGAGGA